rnacentral:rRNA from 1 species
UAACGGCGAGUGAAGCGGCAAAAGCUCAAAUUUGAAAUCUGGCUCUUUCAGGGUCCGAGUUGUAAUUUGUAGAAGAUGCUUUGGGUGUGGCUCCGGUCUAAGUUCCUUGGAACAGGACGUCAUAGAGGGUGAGAAUCCCGUAUGUGAUCGGCUGCCUUCGCCCGUGUAAAGCUCUUUCGACGAGUCGAGUUGUUUGGGAAUGCAGCUCAAAAUGGGUGGUAUAUUUCAUCUAAAGCUAAAUAUUGGCCAGAGACCGAUAGCGCACAAGUAGAGUGAUCGAAAGAUGAAAAGCACUUUGGAAAGAGAGUUAAACAGUACGUGAAAUUGUUGAAAGGGAAGCGCUUGCAAUCAGACUUGCACGUAGUUGAUCAUCUAGUGUUCUCACUGGUGCACUCUGCUACGUUCAGGCCAGCAUCGGUUUCGGUGGUUGGAUAAAGGCCUUGGGAAUGUGGCUCCUCUCGGGGAGUGUUAUAGCCCUCGGUGCAAUGCAGCCUACCGGGACCGAGGACCGCGCUUCGGCUAGGAUGCUGGCGUAAUGGUUGUAAGCGACCCGUCUUGAAACACGGACCAAGGAGUCUAACAUCUAUGCGAGUGUUUGGGUGUCAAACCCAUACGCGUAAUGAAAGUGAACGGAGGUGAGAACCCUUUAGGGUGCAUCAUCGACCGAUCCUGAUGUCUUCGGAUGGAUUUGAGUAAGAGCAUAGCUGUUGGGACCCGAAAGAUGGUGAACUAUGCGUGAAUAGGGUGAAGCCAGAGGAAACUCUGGUGGAGGCUCGCAGCGGUUCUGACGUGCAAAUCGAUCGUCAAAUUUGCGCAUAGGGGCGAAAGACUAAUCGAACCAUCUAGUAGCUGUC